rnacentral:rRNA from 1 species
AGAGUUUGAUCCUGGCUCAGGAUGAACGCUAGCGGCAGGCCUAACACAUGCAAGUCGAGGGGUAGAGUUAGCUUGCUAACUUGAGACCGGCGCACGGGUGCGUAACGCGUAUGCAAUCUACCUUGUACAGGGGGAUAGCCCAGAGAAAUUUGGAUUAAUACCCCAUAGUAUAUUUGAAUCGCAUGGUUUAAAUAUUAAAGUUCCAACGGUACAAGAUGAGCAUGCGUCCCAUUAGCUAGAUGGUAAGGUAACGGCUUACCAUGGCAAUGAUGGGUAGGGGUCCUGAGAGGGAGAUCCCCCACACUGGUACUGAGACACGGACCAGACUCCUACGGGAGGCAGCAGUGAGGAAUAUUGGUCAAUGGACGCAAGUCUGAACCAGCCAUGCCGCGUGCAGGAAGACGGUCCUAUGGAUUGUAAACUGCUUUUAUACAGGAAGAAACAACUCUACGUGUAGAGUCUUGACGGUACUGUAGGAAUAAGGAUCGGCUAACUCCGUGCCAGCAGCCGCGGUAAUACGGAGGAUCCAAGCGUUAUCCGGAAUCAUUGGGUUUAAAGGGUCCGUAGGCGGCCUUAUAAGUCAGUGGUGAAAUCUCCUAGCUCAACUAGGAAACUGCCAUUGAUACUGUAGGGCUUGAAUUCUUAUGAAGUAACUAGAAUAUGUAGUGUAGCGGUGAAAUGCUUAGAUAUUACAUGGAAUACCAAUUGCGAAGGCAGGUUACGAAUAAGACAUUGACGCUGAUGGACGAAAGCGUGGGGAGCGAACAGGAUUAGAUACCCUGGUAGUCCACGCCGUAAACGAUGGAUACUAGCUGUUCGGACGCAAGUUUGAGUGGCUAAGCGAAAGUGAUAAGUAUCCCACCUGGGGAGUACGCACGCAAGUGUGAAACUCAAAGGAAUUGACGG